GACGAACGCUGGCGGCGUGCUUAACACAUGCAAGUCGAACGGAAAGGCCCUGCUUUUGUGGGGUGCUCGAGUGGCGAACGGGUGAGUAACACGUGAGUAACCUGCCCUUGACUUUGGGAUAACUUCAGGAAACUGGGGCUAAUACCGGAUAGGAGCUCCUGCUGCAUGGUGGGGGUUGGAAAGUUUCGGCGGUUGGGGAUGGACUCGCGGCUUAUCAGCUUGUUGGUGGGGUAGUGGCUUACCAAGGCUUUGACGGGUAGCCGGCCUGAGAGGGUGACCGGCCACAGUGGGACUGGGAUACGGCCCAGACUCCUACGGGAGGCAGCAGUGGGGAAUAUUGCACAAUGGGCGGAAGCCGGAUGCAGCAACCCCGCGUGCGGGAUGACGGCCUUCGGGUUGUAAACCGCUUUCGCCUGUGACGAAGCGUGAGUGACGGUAAUGGGUAAAGAAGCACCGGCUAACUACGUG
rnacentral:rRNA from 1 species